rnacentral:rRNA from 1 species
GCCCUUAGAGUUUGAUCCUGGCUCAGAUUGAACGCUGGCGGCAUGCCUUACACAUGCAAGUCGAACGGCAGCAUAGGAGCUUGCUCCUGAUGGCGAGUGGCGAACGGGUGAGUAAUAUAUCGGAACGUGCCCUAGAGUGGGGGAUAACUAGUCGAAAGAUUAGCUAAUACCGCAUACGAUCUAAGGAUGAAAGUGGGGGAUCGCAAGACCUCAUGCUCCUGGAGCGGCCGAUAUCUGAUUAGCUAGUUGGUGAGGUAAAAGCUCACCAAGGCGACGAUCAGUAGCUGGUCUGAGAGGACGACCAGCCACACUGGGACUGAGACACGGCCCAGACUCCUACGGGAGGCAGCAGUGGGGAAUUUUGGACAAUGGGGGCAACCCUGAUCCAGCAAUGCCGCGUGAGUGAAGAAGGCCUUCGGGUUGUAAAGCUCUUUUGUCAGGGAAGAAACGGUUCUGGAUAAUACCUAGGACUAAUGACGGUACCUGAAGAAUAAGCACCGGCUAACUACGUGCCAGCAGCCGCGGUAAUACGUAGGGUGCAAGCGUUAAUCGGAAUUACUGGGCGUAAAGCGUGCGCAGGCGGUUGUGUAAGUCAGAUGUGAAAUCCCCGGGCUCAACCUGGGAAUUGCAUUUGAGACUGCACGGCUAGAGUGUGUCAGAGGGGGGUAGAAUUCCACGUGUAGCAGUGAAAUGCGUAGAUAUGUGGAGGAAUACCGAUGG